UGCGCCACCGCACCCAGCUGUCAGGCAUUUAUUAAAUGUCUACUUAUAUCAGUCAAGAUGAGUAAUACAUAGUCUCCAUAUUCUAAUACUUCAAAAUUUAGUAGAAAAGAUAGCACACAACAAAAAUAACUAUAAUACCAGAUAGGAUACAUUAAAGUAGAGGUAUUCAAUGGAGUCCCAAAAUAGGGAAUAAUCAGGAAAGGCUUCUAAGAAGUGGUGAUUUCUAAAGAGUAGGGGUUCACCUGGCCAAAAAAAAAAAAAAAAAAAAAGCAAAGGGCUAUUCUGUGCAGGGAAAACACAUAUAAAAGAAUAAAGUGACAUGGAUAAUCAAAUAAUUGCAAGUAGUAUGAUAUAAAUGGAGUAUAGGGUAUAAGAAGCAGAGUUGCCAGAAAUGAGGUUAGAAUGAUAAUGGCAGACAAAACAGAACCCUGACUUUAGUCAAGAUGAUAAUGUCCUUAGCUAAAUGACUCUACUUUUCAGUUUCCCUUGCAACUAGAAAUGGCCAAUGAAAUGUAGUAGAAAUGACUAGGGGGGACCUCCAAGAAGGGUUCUUAAAAGGUAACAGCUGGCAAAUAUCCUUUUGCCCUUAUCUCUUCUUCCCACCUGGCACUCAAGAUACAAUGACUGCAUCUCCAGCAGCCAUUUUACACAUCUAUAUUUGAGUGAACGUCAAAAGUUACAAGCCAUACAGUAAGGAUGGCGAGAUCAAAAAGAUUUUUAAAAGCCUAGAUGGCCUUUCGGCCGGAACCGCCAUCUUCCAGUAAUUUGCCAAAAUGACGAACACAAAGGGAAAGAGGAGAGGCAACCGAUACAUGUUCUCUAGGCCUUUUAGAAAACAUGGAGUUGUUCCUUUGGCCACAUAUAUGGGAAUCUGUAAGAAAGGUGAUUAUCAUAGACAUCAAGGGAAUGGGUACUGUUCAAAAAGGAAUGCCCCACAAGUGUUACCAUGGCAAAACUGUAAGAGUCUACCAUGUUACCCAGCAUGCUGUUGGCAUUGUAAACAAACAAGUUAAGGGCAAGAUUCUUGCCAAGAGAAUUAAUGUGCGUAUUGAGCACAUUAAGCACUCUAAGAGCCGAGAUAGCUUCCUGAAACGCGUGAAGGAAAAUGAUCAGAAAAAGAAAGAAGCCAAAGAGAAAGGUACCUGGGUUCAACUGAAGCGCCAGCCUGCUCCACCCAGAGAAGCACACUUUGUGAGAACCAAUAGGAAGGAGCCUGAGCUGCUGGAACCUAUUCCCUAUGAAUUCAUGACAUAAUAGAUGUUAAAAAAACAUAAAAUAAAAGACCUCUGGGCUGAAAAAAGAAAAAAGCCUAGAUGACCAUGGAACUGCCAUAUGACCCUUGGAUAUCCUACUUCCAGAUUUACGUGUGAAAACAAUAAACCCUUAUAUCUUAUUUAAACUAUUAUUUUGUUUAAUAUACAUCCAGACAUAAACCUAACUGAUAAAGGUAUCAGGUACAAGUUUAUGGAAGGACAUUCUAAGCCAUGUUAAAAAUCCUUUCCUGGCUUUAAACAAAGAACUAACAAUCAGGUUUACAUGCACACUGGUGUCAAUGCAAUAAACAGACUGAGAAAAGGUCAGAAUGGCCGUAUAAAGACCAGUAUAAAGACCAGUUGAGCGGUUACUGCUUUUGUUCACACAAGAGAUGAACUCAAGAGAAGAACUCCAAGGCAUGGCCUCAAGCGAUCCUCCCGCCUCUGUCUCCAAAGUGCUGGGAUUACAGGCCUAAGGCAUAAAGUAAAAAGGGAGGUAAGAAGGAAGAUUCAAGAGAUAAAGGUAACUGAACAGGGUUCACUGAAUAAUUAGGUACCAAAGGACAAGAAAGAAAAAACAAUCUUUGAUGAUUUCAAGGCGUCUGCCUGUUUCUAAGAUAUAGUCAGUGCUACUGAUGAAGAUAAAUCUAGGGGAGAAUUUAAAUAUAUUACAUUGUAUUUACAUUUCUCUUAUGAACUGAAUGUAUGUGUCCUUCCCUCAAAUUCAUAUGUUGAAGCCCUAACACACAGUGUGGCUGUAUUUCGGGUAAGGAAGCAAUUAUUAUUAAAUAAGCUUGUAAGGAUAGGACCCUGACCUUACAAGAUUAGUGUUCAUAUAAGAAGAGACACCAGAGGGCUCAAGCGCAACAUAGGCACAGAGGAAAGAGCAUAUAUGGAUGCAGCAAGCAGGAAAGGCAAUCUUCUGCAAGCCAGGAAGAGAACCCUCACCAAAAACAAAACCUUGCUGGAACCAAACGUUAUUUCCAACAGGAAAUAAUAUUUCUGUCGUUUAAGCAUCCAGUCUUUGGUAUUUUGUGAUGGUAGCCCAAGCUGACUACUAUCAUUUCUAUAGUACCAAUAGUAAAUAGACCAACUCCUCCAUUUUAAUUUAGAUAGAGGCCGGCACGGUGGCUCACACCUGUAAUCCCAGAACUUUGGGAGGCCAAAGCAGGUGGAUCACUGGAGGCCAGGA